CCUACGGGUGGCAGCAGUGAGGAAUAUUGGUCAAUGGCCGGAAGGCUGAACCAGCCAAGCCGCGUGAGGGAGGAAGGUGCAGAGCGUUGUAGACCUCUUUUGUCGGGGGACAAAAUGCCGGACUCGUGCCGUCCUGAGGGUACCCGGAGAAAAAGCAUCGGCUAACUCCGUGCCAGCAGCCGCGGUAAUACGGAGGAUCCAAGCGUUAUCCGGAUUUAUUGGGUUUAAAGGGUGCGUAGGCGGGUUGAUAAGUUAGGGGUGAAAUGUCCGGGCUUAACGCGGGAACUGCCUCUAAUACUGUUGGUCUAGAGAGUAGGUGAGGUAGGCGGAAUGUGUGGUGUAGCGGUGAAAUGCUUAGAUAUCAUGCAGAACUCCGAUUGCGAAGGCAGCUUACCA
rnacentral:rRNA from 1 species